rnacentral:rRNA from 1 species
GACGUAGGGCGCGAGCGUUUGUCCGGAUUUAUUGGGCGUAAAGAGCUCGUAGGCGGCUUGUCGCGUCGACUGUGAAAUCCCGCGGCUCAACUGCGGGUCUGCAGUCGAUACGGGCAGGCUAGAGUUCGGUAGGGGAGACUGGAAUUCCUGGUGUAGCGGUGAAAUGCGCAGAUAUCAGGAGGAACACCGAUGGCGAAGGCAGGUCUCUGGGCAUUAACUGACGCUGAGGAGCGAAAGCAUGGGGAGCGAACAGG